GACGAACGCUGGCGGCGUGCCUAAUACAUGCAAGUAGAACGCUGAAGAGAGGAGCUUACUCUUCUUGGAUGAGUUGCGAAGGGGUGAGUAACGCGUAGUUAACCUGCCUUGUAGCGGGGGAUAACUAUAGGAAACGAUAUCUAAUACCGCAUAACAAUGGAUGACACAUUUCAUUUAUUUGAAAGUGGCAAUUGCUCCACUACAAGAUGGACCUGCGUUGUAUUAGCUAGUAGGUGAGGUAAUGGCUCACCUAGGCGACGAUACAUAGCCGACCUGAGAGGGUACUCGGCCACGCUGGGCCUGAGACACGGCCAGGAAUCCUGCGGGAGGGAGCCGUAGGGGACCUCCGGCAAUGGGAGCAAUCGUGAACGAGCAACGCCGCGUGAGUGAAGAAGGUUUUCGGGUCGUAAAGGUCUGUUGUGAGUCAAGAUCGGGUGUGAGAGUGGAAAGUUCACACUGUGACGGUAGCUUAAGAGAAAGGGACGGCUAACUACGUG
rnacentral:rRNA from 1 species